UACGUAGGUGGCAAGCGUUGUCCGGAUUUACUGGGCGUAAAGAGCGCGCAGGCGGUCGUUCAAGUCGAGUGUGAAAGCCCCCCGGCUCAACUGGGGAGGGUCACUCGAUACUGAUCGACUCGAAGGCAGGAGAGGGAAGUGGAAUUCCCGGUGUAGUGGUGAAAUGCGUAGAUAUCGGGAGGAACACCAGUGGCGAAGGCGACUUUCUGCCUGUUCUUGACGCUGAGGCGCGAAAGCUAGGGUAGCAAACGGGG
rnacentral:rRNA from 1 species